rnacentral:rRNA from 1 species
AGUGAACGCUGGCGGUAGGCCUAACACAUGCAAGUCGAACGGCAGCACAGUAAGAGCUUGCUCUUACGGGUGGCGAGUGGCGGACGGGUGAGGAAUACAUCGGAAUCUACUUUUUCGUGGGGGAUAACGUAGGGAAACUUACGCUAAUACCGCAUACGACCUACGGGUGAAAGCAGGGGAUCUUCGGACCUUGCGCGAUUGAAUGAGCCGAUGUCGGAUUAGCUAGUUGGCGGGGUAAAGGCCCACCAAGGCGACGAUCCGUAGCUGGUCUGAGAGGAUGAUCAGCCACACUGGAACUGAGACACGGUCCAGACUCCUACGGGAGGCAGCAGUGGGGAAUAUUGGACAAUGGGCGCAAGCCUGAUCCAGCCAUACCGCGUGGGCGAAGAAGGCCUUCGGGUUGUAAAGCCCUUUUGUUGGGAAAGAAAAGGAGCAGGUUAAUACCCCGCUGUUCUGACGGUACCCAAAGAAUAAGCACCGGCUAACUUCGUG